CGGUCUUACUAAUAAAAAAUCACUAUACAUGCGUUAUGACAAGGUGAUAGUAAUUCAGUGAAUAGAGCUUGUACAGGGCAUAAACUCCUCUUUGACCAAUAAUCGAUGUGUAUUGGUUGAAUAACAAAACGACCCUUAUUUAUUGUUACCCUGGCAACCCGCCGUGUUUGAUUGACGUUUGAUUUAAUAAUUUUGAUACGACUCAUAAUUCUAAUGUAAGUUGUAUUUAUUUUAUCAACCAAAGCAAUUAUAUACACAUUUACUCAAUAUACUAAUAACAUUUUAUUAUUUGCAGCUAAUAUAAACUCCAAAACCUCAGACAAAGAGGACUAGAAUUUUACAUAAAAAGCCGCGUUCUGCAGUACAAAAGUUAGAAGAGGCAUCUCAAAUAGUGGAAAGUGCCAAACUCCGCAACACGGUAGUGUUCCAGUGUUUCCAGGAAGAGCACGAAACAAAACAAAGGCAGAUGGCUGAAACACAUGAGCUCAAACAGAAGCGACUCGCCGAAGCUCACGAAAGGGCUAGACAGAAGCAUCUUCUAAGGCUCAAAUUGUUACAGCAGCAAUUAAAUAAAUAAUUAUAUACUUAUAAAAAAAAUAAAACCCCCGUUUUAAAUGAAA